rnacentral:rRNA from 1 species
GACGAACGCUGGCGGCGUGCUUAACACAUGCAAGUCGAGCGGUAAGGCCCUUUCGGGGGUACACGAGCGGCGAACGGGUGAGUAACACGUGGGUGACCUGCCCUUAGCUCUGGGAUAAGCCUGGGAAACUGGGUCUAAUACCGGAUAUGACCUCAUGACUCAUGUUGUGGGGUGGAAAGCCUUGUGCGGCUAGGGAUGGGCCCGCGGCCUAUCAGCUUGUUGGUGGGGUAAUUGCCUACCAAGGCGACGACGGGUAGCCGGCCUGAGAGGGCGACCGGCCACACUGGGACUGAGACACGGCCCAGACUCCUACGGGAGGCAGCAGUGGGGAAUCUUGCGCAAUGGCGAAAGCCUGACGCAGCGACGCCGCGUGAGGGAUGACGGCC